GAGUGGCGAACUGGUGAGUAACACGUGGGAAACCUGCCCAGAAGCGGGGGAUAACACCUGGAAACAGAUGCUAAUACCGCAUAACAACUUGGACCGCAUGGUCCGAGCUUGAAAGAUGGCUUCGGCUAUCACUUUUGGAUGGUCCCGCGGCGUAUUAGCUAGAUGGUGGGGUAACGGCUCACCAUGGCAAUGAUACGUAGCCGACCUGAGAGGGUAAUCGGCCACAUUGGGACUGAGACACGGCCCAAACUCCUACGGGAGGCAGCAGUAGGGAAUCUUCCACAAUGGACGAAAGUCUGAUGGAGCAACGCCGCGUGAGUGAAGAAGGGUUUCGGCUCGUAAAACUCUGUUGUUAAAGAAGAACAUAUCUGAGAGUAACUGUUCAGGUAUUGACGGUAUUUAACCAGAAAGCCACGGCUAACUACGUGCCAGCAGCCGCGGUAAUACGUAGGUGGCAAGCGUUGUCCGGAUUUAUUGGGCGUAAAGCGAGCGCAGGCGGUUUUUUAAGUCUGAUGUGAAAGCCUUCGGCUCAACCGAAGAAGUGCAUCGGAAACUGGGAAACUUGAGUGCAGAAGAGGACAGUGGAACUCCAUGUGUAGCGGUGAAAUGCGUAGAUAUAUGGAAGAACACCAGUGGCGAAGGCGGCUGUCUGGUCUGUAACUGACGCUGAGGCUCGAAAGUAUGGGUAGCAAACAGGAUUAGAUACCCUGGUAGUCCAUACCGUAAACGAUGAAUGCUAAGUGUUGGAGGGUUUCCGCCCUUCAGUGCUGCAGCUAACGCAUUAAGCAUUCCGCCUGGGGAGUACGGCCGCAAGGCUGAAACUCAAAGGAAUUGACGGGGGCCCGCACAAGCGGUGGAGCAUGUGGUUUAAUUCGAAGCUACGCGAAGAACCUUACCAGGUCUUGACAUACUAUGCAAAUCUAAGAGAUUAGACGUUCCCUUCGGGGACAUGGAUACAGGUGGUGCAUGGUUGUCGUCAGCUCGUGUCGUGAGAUGUUGGGUUAAGUCCCGCAACGAGCGCAACCCUUAUUAUCAGUUGCCAGCAUUAAGUUGGGCACUCUGGUGAGACUGCCGGUGACAAACCGGAGGAAGGUGGGGAUGACGUCAAAUCAUCAUGCCCCUUAUGACCUGGGCUACACACGUGCUACAAUGGAUGGUACAACGAGUUGCGAACUCGCGAGAGUAAGCUAAUCUCUUAAAGCCAUUCUCAGUUCGGAUUGUAGGCUGCAACUCGCCUACAUGAAGUCGGAAUCGCUAGUAAUCGCGGAUCAGCAUGCCGCGGUGAAUACGUUCCCGGGCCUUGUACACACCUCCACGUGCACACCAUGAGAGUUUGUAACACCCAAAGUC
rnacentral:rRNA from 1 species